AAGUGGAGGAAACUCGAAAAACAAAAGUGGAAAAAAGAGACGAAGUCAAACGUCAAAACUGCAGCAGAUUCCACUUUCUCCGUCUUCCUUCUUUUCAUAUUAAUUUGUGAUGUAGAAAAGAGCGAAAAAAGAGUGAAUAAGGCUCCGGUUCAACUGCGGUGAAUUCCCAAUUUUGCCACU